rnacentral:rRNA from 1 species
GGGGAAUAUUGCACAAUGGAGGGAACUCUGAUGCAGCGACGCCGCGUGAGUGAAGAAGGUCUUCGGAUCGUAAAACUCUGUCCUUGGUGACGAAAAAAUGACGGUAGCCAAGGAGGAAGCCCCGGCUAACUACGUGCCAGCAGCCGCGGUAAUACGUAGGGGGCGAGCGUUGUCCGGAUUUACUGGGCGUAAAGGGUGAGUAGGCGGUUAUAUAUGUCAGGUGUAAAAAGCUAUGGCUUAACCAUAGUAAGCACUUGAAACUGUAUGACUUGAGUGCAGGAGAGGUAAGCGGAAUUCCUAGUGUAGCGGUGAAAUGCGUAGAUAUUAGGAGGAACACCGGUGGCGAAGGCGGCUUACUGGACUGUAACUGACGCUGAGUCACGAAAGCGUGGGUAGCAAAC